GCAUGCAUUUUGAUCCAUGUGGGUGAUUAGUUAGUUGGAUGGUUUUUGAGGAUUGCUUGUGACACAGAUUCAAGCUAGAUAGUGCUUGUGAUUGAACCCAAAAUCAUGAUCAAAUAGUCAAAGAUAUGGUUCAUCUAAGUAAUACCAAAACUGUGAGAACUCUUCGUGCUGAUCCGUUUGCUCCUUAAGGUAUGCGUAUAUAUAUAUAUAUAUAUACAUACACACAUACACACACAUCUGAGUUUUUGUUUUUGUUUUUUACUUUCUCUUUUUUCACACGUGGUUCUUGUGGGGGAUAAAGCCGCAAAUUGAUGCUUACACGUCAGAGCAGAUGUCACAAUAAUGAGUGAUGGGGGGGUGAAGGCGAGGACCUCAAUUCAAUAAAGAGGGCAAUAUUUAAAAAAAUAAAUAAAUAAAUAACAAAAAGGAUUCUUUACAAUGCAAAAAGAUUAAAAAUGAGUCAUAUAAUUUUAUAUUGCAAAAGUAACUGAAACUAAAACCUGAAAAUUAUGUGGCCAAUAUGCACCAAAGACUAGGAGAAUAAAAAUUUUGGUUUAUUUAUUUUUCUUUCAUUGUAGAUUGUGGAGAGAUAUAUAUAUUAGGGUGGAAGAAAUAUAUUUUGUUUAGAUUAAAGUAGAAAUUAAUAUUUUGUAAUUAACGAGUUAAUUAUGAUACAAUCUUAUUAAUAAAUUUUCAAAAUGGCAUGAAAAGUAAUUGCACACGUGUGUGUGUGUUUUUUCAAGAACAGUAACUAAGUACUUAAUUUCGAGGUUUUUUACUUGUAGAUGAGUACUGCCCAUACUAAAAUCGACCUUUUAGAUACUUUUGCACUAGCAGUUUGGUACAUUUUUCUUUUUUUGGUGAAUAGCAUUUUAGUACAUUGGUAGCUUAUUUUGGGUUAUAUUAUAUGUGCAUUUUUCAAUUAUAGAAAUUAAAUAAUUAAGAUAAGCCAAAAAUAAAAUUCAUAGUUUGAAUUGUCAUUUAAUUAAAAUAACAUCAAGCUUAACUAUAAAAUAGAAUUAAGCCCAUGGUUUAUAUAAGUUAUAACUUGUACGUUUAGCUUGAACCAUGUAAAAUAACUUGUUACCAACCGAUUUGGUGUAAUUCUUUGUAUAGAGCAAAGACCCGAAGGGAAAGUUAUAUAAUCAAAAUUACCAUUUUAUUUGUAAGAAAUUACCCCAAUAUACCCUUUCAAAAUGGCCUAAUUUGCUUGUUUUUUACCAUGAUUUACCCGAGGUUAGGCUUUGAGUAGUACAUUUCGAAAUAGUGCUCAAUGUAAAGGACGGACCAAAAGCUGACAAUUAAACUCAGAAUUCAAUGUACUUAUUAGGUUAAUACACAUCUCACUUUCAUGUUAGAAAGCUACACAUAAACAAAGCAAAUAGUGAUUGGUCACUCAAAAGGAGAGUAGAGCUUAACAAAGCCAAUCAAGGUGGGUUUAGUGGCCAGGCUUUGUUUACCUUCGUUGAGAAUAUUAGAGAUAAUGUGAGUUAUGGGUUUCUUUCACUAGUUGUUGUUUUAAAGCCAAAUUAGGAAUUGGUGUUGCAAAAUCCAAUCACUUGCCAAUUUCUCAGAAAAGGACAAAAUGUUAGGCCAUUUUCUUGACUCUAGCUGGUAGCAAAAUAUGAAAAGCAUCCCCCACAUUCAUGGUCCUUUCAAAGCUGACCAUAAAUGUUUUCUUCUUCUUCUUUUUUAUUUAUUUAUUUAUAUAUAUAUAUAUAUAUAUAUGCCCAAAAAUCUAUACCUCGCCUUUCAGUCUCUCUAUCUCUAUUUUUUUCUCUGGACGUUUAUGAAUGAUAAUCAAUGCUAAUUUGGUUGUGGGUUUACAUGUCUUUGUUUAAUUAAAUGGUACUUCUUCUUCCUUUCCAUAAGACUUUUUUAUAUAAAAACAAUGAAGGGAAAAGAUUUAGUGCUAAAUAAAGAUAAUUCUUAUUUGCGUUUAAUGUUAAAAGAUAAUUCCGAAUAUUUUUAUAUUCCAAGGAAAGCUUUUUAACUUAGAGUAAUACUUUGAAAGAACAUUCAUGAUUUGUUAGUUAAGCGUAUGGUUUAUAUUCGAUUUGUGAGUAGUAGUUUUACAAAGAAGGAAAUAAGUUUUCUGAAGAAAAGCUCCUGGAUGAGGUCUUGUUUGGUAGUCUAUUCACCCAAAUGAGGGAGAAUGAAAAAAUAAAAAUAAAAAAAACGUCUUGUUUGGUA